GUUUCUAUGGUGUUUAUGCUAGCACAUUAGAUUUUCAUUCUAAAGGAAUAAAGUAGAAUUUAUUAGAAAUA
rnacentral:tRNA from 1 species